rnacentral:rRNA from 1 species
CCCUUAGAUGUUCUGGGCCGCACGCGCGCUACACUGACAGAGCCAACGAGUUUAUCACCUUGGCCGAAAGGUCCGGGUAAUCUUGUUAAACUCUGUCGUGCUGGGGAUAGAGCAUUGCAAUUAUUGCUCUUCAACGAGGAAUGCCUAGUAGGCGCAAGUCAUCAGCUUGCGUCGAUUACGUCCCUGCCCUUUGUACACACCGCCCGUCGCUCCUACCGAUUGGGUGUGCUGGUGAAAUGUUCGGAUCGGCCGUUUGUCGCGGUUUCCGCGUCAUGUGGCUGAGAAGUUCAUUAAACCCUCCCACCUAGAGGAAGGAGAAGUCGUAACA